rnacentral:rRNA from 1 species
AUACGGAGGAUCCGAGCGUUAUCCGGAUUUAUUGGGUUUAAAGGGUGCGCAGGCGGGAGAUUAAGUCGGCGGUGAAAUUUUGCAGCUCAACUGUAAAAGUGCCUUCGAAACUGGUUUCCUUGAGUGUAGAUGAAGUUGGCGGAAUUUGUGGUGUAGCGGUGAAAUGCAUAGAUAUCACGAGGAACUCCGAUUGCGCAGGCAGCUUACUAAACUACUACUGACGCUCAGGCACGAAGGCGUGGGGAUCAAACAGGAUUAGAUACCCUGGUAGUCCACGCAGUAAACGAUGAUUACUAGCUGUUUGCGAUACAAUGUAAGCGGCUGAGCGAAAGCGUGAAGUAAUCCACCUGGGGAGUACGUUCGCAAGAAUGAAACUCAAAGGAAUUGUCGGGG